ACCUACACAGUUCGUGAGAAAUCUGUUUUUGUUAAUUUAGCCUGUAGGUACUACAGAUACCUAUCUAAAGUUAUCUAAUUUAAUUUGGGGUCGAUGGCGCGGAGAGCAACAUAACUUACAUUGGAACCAUACUGCGGGGUAUUGAUAAUGAGGAUUACAUUGCAAUCGGUCCAGAGAGGAUAGCUGUCAGGAAUAUGC
rnacentral:misc_RNA from 1 species